AAGACUGUAGCUUAGCAGUAGAGCUUCUGCCUUGCAUGCAGAAAGUCGAAGGUUUCAAUCUCCAGUUUCU